rnacentral:rRNA from 2 species
UGCAGUCGAGCGAACAGAAGGGAGCUUGCUCCCGGAUGUUAGCGGCGGACGGGUGAGUAACACGUGGGUAACCUGCCUGUAAGACUGGGAUAACUCCGGGAAACCGGAGCUAAUACCGGAUAGUUCCUUGAACCGCAUGGUUCAAGGAUGAAAGACGGUUUCGGCUGUCACUUACAGAUGGACCCGCGGCGCAUUAGCUAGUUGGUGGGGUAAUGGCUCACCAAGGCGACGAUGCGUACCCGACCUGAGAGGGUGAUCGGCCACACUGGGACUGAGACACGGCCCAGACUCCUACGGGAGGCAGCAGUAGGGAAUCUUCCGCAAUGGACGAAAGUCUGACGGAGCAACGCCGCGUGAGUGAUGAAGGUUUUCGGAUCGUAAAGCUCUGUUGUUAGGGAAAAACAAGUGCGAGAGUAACUGCUCGCACCUUGACGGUACCUAACCAGAAAGCCACGGCUAACUACGUGCCAGCAGCCGCGGUAAUACGUAGGUGGCAAGCGUUGUCCGGAAUUAUUGGGCGUAAAGGGCUCGCAGGCGGUUUCUUAAGUCUGAUGUGAAAGCCCCCGGCUCACCCGGGGAGGGUCAUUGGAAACUGGGAAACUUGAGUGCAGAAGAGGAGAGUGCAUCUCCACGUGUAGCGGUGAAAUGCGUAGAGAUGUGGAGGAACACCAGUGGCGAAGGCGACUCUCUGGUCUGUAACUGA